GACGAACGCUGGCGGCGUGCCUAAUACAUGCAAGUCGAGCGGACUAUUUCCUUCGGGGAAUGGUUAGCGGCGGACGGGUGAGUAACACGUAGGCAACCUGCCCUUGAGAUCGGGAUAACUAUCGGAAACGAUAGCUAAGACCGGAUAGCUGGUUUUCUCGCAUGAGAGAAUCAUGAAACACGGAGCAAUCUGUGGCUUAAGGAUGGGCCUGCGGCGCAUUAGCUAGUUGGUGAGGGUAAUGGCCCACCAAGGCGACGAUGCGUAGCCGACCUGAGAGGGUGAACGGCCACACUGGGACUGAGACACGGCCCAGACUCCUACGGGAGGCAGCAGUAGGGAAUCUUCCGCAAUGGACGCAAGUCUGACGGAGCAACGCCGCGUGAGUGAUGAAGGUUUUCGGAUCGUAAAGCUCUGUUGCCCUAGACGAAUAGCAAGGAGAGUAACUGCUCUUUGUGUGACGGUAUAGGAGAAGAAAGCCCCGGCUAACUACGUGCCAGCCGCCGCCGUAAAAC
rnacentral:rRNA from 1 species